AUUCCUGACGACUCUCUCCCUGACGAUUCUCUCCAGUCAAGAUGAUGGGUGUAUCCGGGAAGCUUGCCCUUCUGUUCCUUAUCGUGGUUGUCCUGCAUCAAGCCAGCAGUUAUCCUUUCGAUAGUGACGUUUACUUUGAACUAGACGAUGAAGUUCCAAGUGAGCUGGUGAAAAGGAAUACCGUUAGCGAUGUGUUACGUAUAUUGAAAGCUAGAGGCAAGGGAAGGUGGGACGACAGCAAAACUCAUAUAUUCCGGUUCGGAGCGGGAAAAUAGCGGUGAAGAACGAAAGUACAUUCGAUUCUCAGGUCGUUAGACGGAUGGACUUUAUAAUUGUUGAUGUGAAUUAGAUGGCCAAUUGAAUAAUACGUGUCUUGAUACGUAACGGAUAAUAAACUAAUUAAUAUUGUAU
rnacentral:sRNA from 1 species